rnacentral:rRNA from 1 species
ACGAACGCUGGCGGCGUGCUUAACACAUGCAAGUCAAGGGGGCCCGCAAGGGUAACCGGCGAACGGGUGCGUAACACGUGAGCAAUCUGCCUAGAUGUGGGGGAUAGCCGGCCCAACGGCCGGGUAAUACCGCAUACGCUCACCGGGUGGCAUCACUUGGUGAGGAAACAUUCGUGGCAUCUAGAGGAGCUCGCGGCCUAUCAGCUAGUUGGUGGGGUAACGGCCUACCAAGGCAUUGACGGGUAGCUGGUCUGAGAGGAUGGCCAGCCACAUUGGGACUGAGAUACGGCCCAGACUCCUACGGGAGGCAGCAGUGGGGAAUAUUGCGCAAUGGCCGAAAGGCUGACGCAGCGACGCCGCGUGGGGGAUGAAGCAUUUCGGUGUGUAAACCCCUGUUGCCCGGGACGAACAACUGGUUUCGACCAGUCUGACGGUACCGGGUGAGGAAGCACCGGCUAACUCCGU